rnacentral:miRNA from 1 species
UUCCCAAUGUCGCCCAUUCCGA